rnacentral:rRNA from 1 species
AAGUACAAUCAUACCAGCACUAAUGGACCAGAUUCCAUCAGAAUUUUGCAAUUAAACGUAUUUGUAUGAGAGUAGUAUUAGAAUGGGUCACCUCGCGCGAAGUCAGUAUGUUACACCAC